UUCCACGUCUGUGGCACCGAACGCGGGGUGCUGGAACCCGAACGGCGGGCCACAAUGCGCUUUCUGAAGCCAAGAUUCGGAGCUGGUGUUUAAAUCGCGUUUUGUUCGGGCGGAGCAAGCCCGCUCGCCUGCGGCAGGCUGGCUUUUAUUGGGGCUGUUUCGAACGCAUGAGAAAGUAACCUACUGAGCAUUUAUUUGCCAGGGGUUUUGUUACCUCAUCGAAUUUUUAAUGUUUUUGACUCGGUUCAGUGAAAAUCAGGCCCUUAUGGCCCUACGUGCUAGCCUGUUCCUCUGGCCAAUGGUGCUUUUUGUCAUGGUAUUUAGCCAAUGUUAGGUUUUAUAGGGUUUUCAUGGAGGCACCGGUUUGGCAUUUUCGGGUACAACAGAAUUGUCCCAAAAGAGGUUAUAGUCAAGUGAGGGAAAGACAGUAAGCUGUAAAUACACACAGUACUAGAAACGAUAAAGACUUCGCAGGUAAUUAAGGUGAUUUGAUAAAGGGUAGUUAGGUGCAACUUUUUGAUUGCCUGGUUUGGGAAGAUUAAGGAAGUGGCAUUUAAACAGAUUCGAAUUGCAGACAGCUCGUUCUAUGAACUUCUUUAUGAGCUGUGGAAGACAGCAGAAGAACGUCUACAUAAAAAGCUGCAAGGCAGGAAUAUCUGCGUACUGAGGAAUUUAAAGACUAGUAGCUAGACUAUGGUGGGGGACAGGGGUGAAUACAAGGUGUUGAAAAGAGAAUAAUUCACCUGAUUAUGAUUUUUCUUGUUUGUGGAUAAAUGAAAAAUAAAUAGUGAAAUACUCUUCAUAGACACAUCAAAGGCAAGUGCAACAGGGGAAAGGAGCUCAGGAUGAACUCAUCACCAGGUUGAGAAAUCCAGGCUGUUCAGCUGGAGAGCUGACAGUCCCAGCUCCUGCCUUGUGUGCGAGUGAGGCUAUCUUGGGCCAUCCUGCACCAGGUGACUGCAGCCACCCGAACAACUUCAGGUGAGACCAGCGGAAGAACUCGCCAAGGCAGGGAAGAAUUAUGAACUAAUAAAUGGUUAUUGUUGUAAGCCUUUAAGCUUUGGGGUGUUUUGUUAUGCAGUGAUGGUUAAAUGGACACAGUACUGUCUUUGUAGUCACAGAAUAUAGGUGAGGGCAAGAGACAAGU